rnacentral:rRNA from 1 species
GGUUGAUCCUGCCAGUAGUCAUAUGCUUGUCUCAAAGAUUAAGCCAUGCAUGUCUAAGUAUAAACAACUUUGUACUGUGAAACUGCGAAUGGCUCAUUAAAUCAGUUAUAGUUUAUUUGAUCAUACCUUACUACUUGGAUAACCGUGGUAAUUCUAGAGCUAAUACAUGCUAACGAUCCCGACUUCUGGAAGGGAUGUAUUUAUUAGAUAAAAAACCAAUGCGGUUCGCCGCUUGUUUGGUGAUUCAUAAUAACUUUUCGAAUCGCAUGGCCUUGUGCUGGCGAUGCUUCAUU